rnacentral:rRNA from 1 species
AGAUUGAACGCUGGCGGCAUGCCUAACACAUGCAAGUCGAACGGGAGUAGCAAUACUCUAGUGGCGGACGGGUGAGGAAUACGUAGGAAUUUGCCCUUAAGUGGGGGAUAACCCGGGGAAACCCGGAUUAAUACCGCAUGACCUCGAAAGAGCAAAGUGGGGGAUCGCAAGACCUCACGCUUUUGGAGAAGCCUACGUCGGAUUAGCUAGUUGGUGAGUAGUGGCUCACCGAGCGAGACUACCGUAACUGGUCUGAGAGGAU